AUUGGAUUUAUAAUUUUUUUCUUCUGAAUGAGUUGUAUCAGUUAAAUUAUCUUUUUAAGUUAAAUGCUCAAAGCCCAAUUAAUAAUAUUUAUUUUGCUGAUAACAAAUUGAGAUUAAAUAUGGAUAACAUAUAAUAUAUAAGGAAGACCAAAAAAAAAAGGUCCAAACAACCUUUAUAAGUAGAUUUAUCAAGACUGCUUCCCUUUUAAUAGAAUAGAUAUGUAAAUAUAUGGUCUCAUUAACCAUUACAUUAUUUGAUAAAUAUUCACAAUAAGUUAUUUUUAUAUUUUUUAACGUUUGAUGUUUUAUUAUAUAAAGCUUCGUUCAUCAAAGUUGUUAAUUAACAUAUUGCAACAUGUGUCAAUAAAAUAAUUAAAAUUGUGACAUAUGUCAAAAAUAAAUUACAUUACUUUCAAUUUUGCCGAUAUGAUCAUUCAAAUAGUUUUUUCAAAGUAUAUAUCAGACAAUAUAAAACCUGCACAUCAAGCGACGAUCGCUGUUUUAUCCGAAGACGUUGGUAGUCUAAACGUCGACACUGCUGCACCAGCACCCGUAACCAAGUUGCAGCCUAGCAGCUAAGUGUUGUUUUAUUGUUUGAUCAAAAAGAAUAAUGCACAAUUAAAGAACAAUUUUAUUGUUUGAUCAAAAAAAGAAUAAUGCAUAAUUAAUGUAUAACAAAUUGUUUCAGAAGAGAGCAUAUUACAUUGUUGUUUGCUGAUUUGUGAAAUUUAAUGAUCUACAUUACAAAUGACUAUGUAAAGAAGACUUCAAGAGUAAUGAAUGAAUCAAAUACAAACUAAAAUAAAUCUUAAAAUAGAGGAGGCAUGAGCUUUGAGUUUGUGAGAGAGAAGCCUUAGAGUAGCUAAGAAAUCAUUAUAUAUAGGUUUGUUAAUUACGGUUAAGUGAAUCAAUCUGAUUUGAAUUAACCGGCCUGGUCUUUUAUUUAUGUUUCGAUUUUAUAUUUCCAUCUGAUAUGAAAGGGGAAAAAGUCUUUCCAAAGACAAAAAAACCGGAACUGGUUUACUUGGGUUUGGUAUCCAAAUCAAUUUUUUGGUUCCAGAGAAAUAUGUACUAAUAAUCCAAAUCAAUUUAAUUCAGAGGUUAUUUUCAUCAUGUUCUGAUUCCUUCCAAUACAAGAAAACAAACCCCAUUAAACUCAACUCCACCCAGCAUCAUAAACUCUCUAUUAAUGUCUAGACAAGUUAAAAGAUUAUGAACAUCCUAAAAAUAGAAACGCAAGGAAGAAGGCAGAGAUAUAGUGAAAAACUCCAUCGACUGCCAUCUCCCAGCCAACACCAAUCGCAGGUGUAACAACUUCCUUUGGUAAACUCAGCCCUAUGAAAAGGAAAGCCAACUCGUAAAUAUAUGAAAAAAACGGUGGACCAAAGACAAAGCUAACAUCCACAAGUAAAUGAAUUCUACCAAAUCCACUUUUGGAGUCUACACAUCAGUCUCCAUAUGCAUAGACUAUCUCUAGGGCACGAAGAAAAUCACACAUCAAGGAGGCCAUACAUGCAAUAGAGUAGUACGCAAUCAUAAUACCUCUUCGCAAACAUAUUGUUCUCUCCAACUGCUUCCCCUGCAGCUCGAAGCCGAAACCAAACCACCCAAUCAAAAGUGGCAUGAGUUAGAGAACAAUUUCAACAAACUAAACUCGCAUUUAAAUUUCUAGACUCAUACUUCAUCAACCGUUUGGUUAGAAUUGUUUCAGAUAUAUUCACAUUUAAACUUCUAGCUAGACUCACACUCCAUCAACCGUUUGGUUAGAGUUGCUUCAGAUAUAUGCACAAUGUCCGCCUGAAAUAUGUCUUGUGACUUUUAGUUUGAUUAAUAAUAAAAAAAUAGAAAGUGAUUAUAUCACGUAAACAUUGAUCCUUUCACAUUGAAGUCUAUAAAUCUUUUCUGAAAACUUUGAAACGUUACAAGAACAAACAAAAGCAUUAUAACACACUCUUAUGGUGCGGGUCCAA